GGUAGUAAUCGCAACAUCUUAAAAAUUUUUGCGGUAGUAAUUCACAACUUUUUUAAUUUGCGGUAGUACUUUACAACGUGGUAUUAACUUGCGGUAGUAAUUGGAAAAUUAUCCUAAGUUGAGUCCUCUUAGACUUAACUUAGGGGUAAAAUGGGAAAUUCACAAUAUUGAAUAAAGUAAGGAGAAGUUGAAGCCAGUUGGUCCCCACAAUUUGUUAGUUAUUCAUUAAUCAAACAAAAAAAAACGUAAAAAGGGUUGAAGCUUUUAAAAAAAGAAAAGGAGGAGAGAGAAAAAAACUCAUAACACAUUUGAUAAAGAACAAACAGCGCAAAUUCAAAACCUAGAAAGAGAGAGGCAGUUUUCAAAAGCAUUUUGGAAGCCAAAUUCUCAUCCUUUAGUAGUAAUUUGAAGUGUAACAGUAGCAUUGGAGUACCGUGGGUGUUUGCCGAAUUUUGGUUGCCGCCAAUUUCGGAAGGAAAACGCCGGAGUAUCGCUCUUCGUGGGAUUGUAACCUUAAACAUAUAUUGAAGACUAGAAACGCUCCAACUGGUUCAUCUAGCAAACAACAGGCCAACAAGAAAAUGAAACAAGCAGUUGUUGAGGAUGGAGAUGAAGAUAAUAACUAUGAUGGGAUGAUCACAAUUUUAACGAUGCUGACUAUGUGGUGUAAGAAGAAGAAGAAGACUAUGGUGAAGGUGAUAUUAUUCAAGGUGAUUACAAGGUGGAGUCAGAGUACCUUGUGACUCGGCACAUCGACAAGAAGCGUAAAAUUGUUCCCCCACCACCAAAACAUAUCAGACCCUCACAACCCCCACAGCCGAAGGUUCAGAAGAGCACAACGUCCACUAGUAAUUGAACAGGACUUUAAUGAGGUAUAAAAGCAUUGUAAUCUGAAGCAAGUAGUUCCUUAUGUUAUUGUUCUUUUGUUGAUGAUUUGUAAUGUUGGGUAGAUGAUUUUGAGUUAUGUUGGACAACCGAAUAUAACUUUGGGUGAGCAAGUUAAAAAAAGAGGUGUGAUAGUUGCGACACAGUUGAGGAAUUGUAGUUGGAAGCAAGCGAACUUCAAUUGUCGGAUUGGUGCAUUUAUCGAUGUUGUGAAGGCGAUGUGCAUAGAUGAGAACAAAAAAUAGUUGUUGGAGGGAAGUGGGUUUGGAGGGUUGUUGAAGUUGCCUUUAAUAAAGAUUGAUUGUAGGUUUUUUUACUGCCUUAUGACAAGGAUUGAUUCGAAGAAGAAGGUGUUAAUUGGAGGAGAUGGAAGAGAGCUACCUUUAUGCCCUGAACAAUGUGGUGCAUAUUUGGCCUUCCCGGAGUCCAAACCCUGUGCCUGUUAAAUUUCUUAAUGCAUCCAUGCAAGCAAGGGUCGAUCGUAUUGUUCAUCAGUAUGGGGAGAUUACAAAAGACAAUGUGUAAUCCCCCAUAUUUUAAUUUAAUUAUAAUUUAUUUAUAUAUUAUUCUUACAAUUAUAUUUAUGGCAAUUUCAUUAAAUAAAUUAUUUUUAUGAAAGGAUUUAAAAUAAACUAGUGUAUUUUUAUUAAUUUACAAGUAAUUCUAACAUAGCCCAAAACCCAAAUACUACUCCUAAUCUAAUUAGGAAACCCAAAGCCCAAAUAAAACCCUCAAAAACCCUCACUUUCCUCCUCCUUCUCACGUAAAAAAAAAAAAAGGGAAAAACCUUCAUAUUUUUUUUCUCCUCCUUUCCUACUGUUUUCACGAAGAGAAGAGAAAAAAAAAAAA